AAUAGAUACCCUGGUAGUCCACGCCGUAAACAAUGAGUGCUAAGUGUUAGAGGGUUUCCGCCCUUUAGUGCUGCAGCUAACGCAUUAAGCACUCCGCCUGGGGAGUACGGUCGCAAGACUGAAACUCAAAGGAAUUGACGGGGGCCCGCACAAGCGGUGGAGCAUGUGGUUUAAUUCGAAGCAACGCGAAGAACCUUACCAGGUCUUGACAUCCUCUGACAACUCUAGAGAUAGAGCAUUCCCCUUCGGGGGACAGAGUGACAGGUGGUGCAUGGUUGUCGUCAGCUCGUGUCGUGAGAUGUUGGGUUAAGUCCCGCAACGAGCGCAACCCUUGAUCUUAGUUGCCAGCAUUCAGUUGGGCACUCUAAGGUGACUGCCGGUGACAAACCGGAGGAAGGUGGGGAUGACGUCAAAUCGUCAUGCCCCUUAUGACCUGGGCUACACACGUGCUACAAUGGAUGGUACAAAGGGCUGCAAGACCGCGAGGUCAAGCCAAUCCCAUAAAACCAUUCUCAGUUCGGAUUGUAC
rnacentral:rRNA from 1 species